rnacentral:rRNA from 1 species
UACGAAGGGGCUAGCGUUGUUCGGAAUUACUGGGCGUAAAGCGUAUGCAGGCGGAUCAUUAAGUCGGGGGUGAAAUCCCGAGGCUCAACCUCGGAACUGCCUUCGAUACUGUUUGGCUUGAGUAUGGCAGAGGUCAGUGGAACUGCGAGUGUAGAGGUGAAAUUCGUAGAUAUUCGCAAGAACACCAGUGGCGAAGGCGGCUGACUGGGCCAUUACUGACGCUGAGGCGACGAAAGCGUGGGGAGCAAACAGG